GACACGCUGGCGGCGUGCCUAACACAUGCAAGUCGAACGGAGAUUAUUGAUGAAGCUUGCGAUUUAAUAAUCUUAGUGGCGGACGGGUGAGUAACGCGUGGGUAACCUGCCCAUAAGAGGGGGAUAACAGCUGGAAACGGCUGCUAAUACCGCAUACGCUUUCCGGGACACAAGUGCCGGAAAGGAAAGAUGGCCUCUACAUGUAAGCUAUCACUUAUGGAUGGACCCGCGUCUGAUUAGCUAGUUGGUGGGGUAGAAGCCUACCAAGGCGACGAUCAGUAGCCGGCCUGAGAGGGUGGACGGCCACACUGGGACUGAGACACGGCCCAGACUCCUACGGGAGGCAGCAGUGGGGAAUAUUGCGCAAUGGGGGAAACCCUGACGCAGCGACGCCGCGUGAGCGAAGAAGGCCUUCGGGUUGUAAACUGCUUUUGUACGGAACGAAAAGACUCCUUCUAAUAAAGGGGGUUCAUGACGGUACCCAAAGAAUAAGCACCGGCUAACUUCGUG
rnacentral:rRNA from 1 species